AGGUCGCAGGCUGCUGGCGGCUGUAUGUGUGCGCUGCCCUCCCCGACGCCUCCCCCCGAUUCCCCCUGCGCCUGCAGGCCGGCGCGAUGCGGCGCCGCUUCUGGGGCAUGUUCAGCUGCCCGUGCGCCGGCGACGGUUGGCAUUUCAGCGUUUCAAGGCCUUUUGCCUGUGGGUAUGGUGGGAACAGGUGAAGGAGCUGUGCUGUUGCCGUUGAAGGCAUAUUCUCAAGAUGCUGAUGUGAUUCCUCAACAUGCUGUCAAUGAGAAAAUGAUCAAGAGCAGGAGGUAGAAGAGGACGAAAUGGCAGUUUCUCAGGCCUCAGUGACCCGGGCUGCUGUGCUAUCCCUAGAAUAUGAGCCGGCUUGGGUCCCAAGGCUGGACUGACCUGGGACAGAGGGACCUGGGAAGGAUGGUGCAGCAACUGAGCCCUCCUCGGACCUGUAGUGCCUGGUCCCAUCUGCGUGGGACCACAGUCUCCAGAUCCAGGUGGGCACUCCUACCCCUAACGAAGCCCCAUCCCCCCAAAGGACGGUGGACUCUCUGGGCUGGAAGAGCUCUGAAAAGUUACCUGGUCGCCAGGUCUCUUGCUGGAGAUCAAGUUAUCAAUGCCUGAAGGAGAUUGACCAGAGGUGGAAGGACAGAGCAAAUUUCCAGAUCAUCACACAGACAUCAGCACCACAGAACCCGUAAAGUCCAGAACGUGUAGAAGCAAACGAGGGGACAAACUGCCUCAAAAGGGAUAUUAGUCAUGUAUACUCCCUGCAAGAGUACGUCAAAGGGCUUGUUUCCACUGAUGUUGACAAGAGACGCUACAAAGGCACUUUACGUUUUCUAUAUAAGAAAGAAAAAUGAUUACGUUGGCUUUGUAAUUUAUUUCCCCCUGACCAUCAUUGAGGUUGGGUGCCUCUUCAUGUGUAAAAUGAUCAUUUUUCUUUUACAGUGAAAUUUAAUUUCAUAGGUUCCAGAUAUUUUUGUUUGCUUCUAUUUUUUCUCUUGAUUGAGAGGCAAUUCAAAUAUACCUUAUAGUUGUGGUGUCUUCUCCCACAUCCUUCCAAGCCAAUUACUGUGCACACAGUCACUAAAAAAAUUUGUCAAGGAACUUGUUGUCACAGGUCAUCCAUCACUCAAGACACUCGAUAUGAGGGCCAUCUGCCAUGCACAGCCUUACACCAAGAGCUCUGUACUGAGCUCUUUGCUCUCAACUUGUGGACCAGUUAAAGGAUGAGGAUAUUGUUAAACCUCACAACCUACAGCGAAACACAUUGGUCAGUCCUUAAACAUCAUUGCCAACAGGCCUGGGAGCUUCUCCUAUGACGUUCCCCAGCUUGCCACCAAGACAUCUGGUCUGGACCAUGUCACCAACCACAGAGCACUGACGUGUAGACUCAAUGUGCCGACCAGAGAAUGUCAUACAUAAAUGUCAUCAGGACUCCAAACUCAGGCAGCAGGCAAGAGAUCUGCCUGGGUCUCCAUCCUGUUUUGCUAGAUCUUCCCCUCCUACCUACCCCCUCCUCACAAAAAUGUAAGACUCAGGUCCCUUUUAUCCUCUGAGGAUACUCAGACCUGAUCUGUGGAAUUAUCCACAGCCUUUAUCCUCUUCCCAGUACAACUGGACUUGGAUUCACACAGGCAAACCAAAUGACCAUAAGGACACCUGCCCCAAUGCUAAGCACUGACUCCCAGCCUCUACCCAACUCACCUCACCUGAGCCCAAUCCAGGUCUGCACUGUCCCCCAACCUCCACCAUCUACGCAUGUUCCAGACCAACCCCUCAGAAUUGUCUUCAUGAUGGGACAAGGGAUGCAGGGAGGGCUCCAGGUUCAGAACACCUUUCAUUUCAUCCUCCUAAGAAGCUUUCUCCUACAAGUCAGAUGUUUCACCUCUUAGGGGAACCUGGGUGAUACUGACCCAUGUCCCAGUCCACGUUCUCCAGGAGGACCUUCUGGUCUCCUCUGAGGGGAGUGACCCGCCCUGCCCCAAGGCACGGAAGAUUCACCCUCCAGGCUAACAGGGCUCAGAGGCGACUACUGGAGUAAAAGAAAGAAGAAAGGAGCAGAAUUUGUCUCAUGAAUUAGCACUUCCCCAGCUGUGGUUUAUGUACAAAUUUCAGAACACCAGAUAAUACUGAGAAUUGCACAGCCCAUUUCAUGUAAUGUUAUGAAUUGUGUAAAUUUAACUUAUGUUUUAAAUGGAGGUUACCAAACUGUCAUAUGAAGUAUUUAGUAAAUUUUUUAAAAUUUAAAUUGUUUGCUAAUCCUUUUACAAUAUAUGUCAUUAUGCUGUACACCCACCAUUUCUACAGUACUGUAUGUCAA